GUGCGAAGUGACGUUCCAGCCAUUUGCAUAUGACCGCCUCCAGCACAAGACAACUACGCUCAUUUCGUGAGCAAACAGUGUUUGUUCUAUACAUUUUAAGGAUGACUGUUUUGAGAACAAAUACCAAUAUGAUGCUGGCUUUGCCAAAAAACUGUUGCUCAAAGACAAGGCCGUGCCGACUAUUCUGUGCUCAACAACGACGAUGCAAACUGUAAGUAAUGUAUUUAAAACUUUAAACUACUUUUUAAAACACAAUUUUAAAUCACAUUCAGGAUGUUCACAUCCAUGAUGAUCCAUUAUACCAACAAUGUGAACAUUCACAUCGAGUGUCUAAGGGCAGCAGGAAACACUUCAAACCUUGUGAGUGUAUAGUAUUUCAUAUUAUUACCAUUACCAAUCAAAGUGGCUGACUGUUGUUCAUCUGUGUGUCCCACAGUGCUAAUACUGUUUCCAUUAUCCUUCACACAAAUUAAUACAUACUACUAUUCCAGGUUCAAAACCACUUUACAGAGUCGAAAAGGUGCGGAUUAACAAGAGUCCUCAAAGAUGUAGCCAAGCUCAGCCCUCACUUCCAGACCUCAUCCUUGGAGGCCUUUCACAGUGUUAUUUUACGCUUUGCCCCCAAAAGUGUGGUAUUCCCUUUUAUUGAAUGCUGUGCAGGUUAUAUUUGGCUGGCAUGCAUUUCAAUGAAAAUUCAAACCGUCCAAAGGCUACUACAUCAUCUGGAAAGCCAAUGUACAGACUUUUGUUCCCCAAGGCUAAAAAAAGGAUUGUACACCAUAAAACCAUUGACAUCCAACCCAACGUACUGCUACGUCUACAACCUGAUGACACUGCUUUUUGAAAAGGUUCUGCCAGAUCCUUUUCCCUACAUGGAGGAACUGCAUAAAAUUACAGUGGCUGACAGUCUAUGCACACAGUAUGACAGACCUUCAUUGGAGGAGGCCAUUGCUGAGCACGUAUCAAGGUUUAGUCAAGGGGCAGUUUGAAUCCGACAUAGCUGCCGGUAUAUACACAGGACAACACAUGAUGGUAUUACAACCCUGAUCUUUCUGCCUAGAUAGCCCCAGCACCAACUGACAAAGCUUCUGUAAGCCAAAUGCCUGUAGCGCCCGAUGGAAACAGAGAAAAGACAUUUCAAAUUAUACAUUCAAAAGGUGUUUUGUAAAGUGUUGUGUGUGUGUGUGUGUCUAAACGAUUGUUAUUUGAAUAUAUAUUUUGUUACAAUAAAUAUUUAUCCAUAUUAACAUAAAACUAUUGUGUAUGUCAGUUUUCUUACUGGUGUAACCCUCUGAGUCUCAAAGGACCAUAGUCUGCCCUGUAAAUGUUAUGUGCAUUCUGUAACGAAUACAAAUUUAGGCAAACAGGUUCAAGUCCCGGAUGAUGAAUCAUACAGGUAGGUGGUACUGGUGCCUGGUUAAUUCUUCUGACAACCUAUUGAGAAGGCUAUUGAGUUUACAAUUGUAGUCCAACAUGUAUGACAUGUAAUACUCAAACAUGCAGAUUAACUUAAUUAUUAUUAUUUGUCUUUUAUUGUGUGCACAUACUUCAGGGGUCUACAUGCAGCAUUUAU